UACGUAGGGUGCGAGCGUUGUCCGGAAUUACUGGGCGUAAAGAGCUCGUAGGUGGUUUGUCGCGUUGUUCGUGAAAACUCACAGCUCAACUGUGGGCGUGCGGGCGAUACGGGCAGACUGGAGUUCGGCAGGGGAGACUGGAAUUCCUGGUGUAGCGGUGAAAUGCGCAGAUAUCAGGAGGAACACCGGUGGCGAAGGCGGGUCUCUGGGCCGAUGACUGACGCUGAGGAGCGAAAGCGUGGGGAGCAAACAGG
rnacentral:rRNA from 1 species